rnacentral:rRNA from 1 species
UACGGGAGGCAGCAGUGGGGAAUAUUGCACAAUGGGCGAAAGCCUGAUGCAGCUAUGCCGCGUGUAUGAAGAAGGCCUUAGGGUUGUAAAGUACUUUCAUCGGGGAGGAAAAAACAAAACUAAUAAUUUUAUUUCUUGACGUUACCCGAAAAAGAAGCACCGGCUAACUCCGUGCCAGCAGCCGCGGUAAUACGGAGGGUGCUAGCGUUAAUCAGAAUUACUGGGCGUAAAGGGCACGUAGGUGGUUUUUUUAAGUCAGAUGUGAAAUCCCUGGGCUUAACCUGGAACUGCAUUUUGAAACUGAAAUACUAGAGUAUCGUAGAGGGAGGUAGAAUUCUAGGUGUAGCGGUGAAAUGCGUAGAUAUCUGGAGGAAUACCUGUGGCGAAAGCGGCCUCCUAAACGAAUACUGACACUGAGGGUGCGAAAGCGUGGGGAGCGAAACAGGGAUUAGAUACCCGU